rnacentral:misc_RNA from 1 species
CAAAAUGGGGUUGCCGAACGAAAUAAUAGUCAUCUAGUUGAGACUGCCCGCAUUUUACUCAUUCACCAUAAUGUUCCCCUUCGUUUUUAGGAGAUGCUAUUUUUACUGCUUGUUACUUAAUUACCCGAAUGCCUUCUUCUAUUUUCUAGAAUCAGAGUCCUCAUCCCAUUUUGUUUCUCGACCAAGAUGCUCAUCAAUUGUCCCUGCAUGUAUUUGGUUGUAUUUAUUUUGU